UGGGGAAUUUUGGACAAUGGGGGAAACCCUGAUCCAGCCAUCCCGCGUGUGCGAUGAAGGCCUUCGGGUUGUAAAGCACUUUUGGCAGGAAAGAAACGUCGCGGGUUAAUACCCCGCGAAACUGACGGUACCUGCAGAAUAAGCACCGGCUAACUACGUGCCAGCAGCCGCGGUAAUACGUAGGGUGCAAGCGUUAAUCGGAAUUACUGGGCGUAAAGCGUGCGCAGGCGGUUCGGAAAGAAAGAUGUGAAAUCCCAGAGCUUAACUUUGGAACUGCAUUUUUAACUACCGGGCUAGAGUGUGUCAGAGGGAGGUGGAAUUCCGCGUGUAGCAGUGAAAUGCGUAGAUAUGCGGAGGAACACCGAUGGCGAAGGCAGCCUCCUGGGAUAACACUGACGCUCAUGCACGAAAGCGUGGGGAGCAAACAGGAUUAGAUACCCUGGUAGUCCACGCCCUAAACGAUGUCAACUAGCUGUUGGGGGCCUUCGGGCCUUGGUAGCGCAGCUAACGCGUGAAGUUGACCGCCUGGGGGAGUACGGUCGCAAGAUUAAAACUUAAAUGAAUUGACGGGGGUCAUAGCUGUUUUUCCU
rnacentral:rRNA from 1 species